rnacentral:lncRNA from 1 species
CUUCUUUGUGGACUUUGGGGAUGAGCCUGGUGGUCCGUCGUUGGCUCAUGAGAUGAGAUAUCCAGGUGGUGACUGCACCUCAGACAUAUGGAUCUAAGUAUCUAACUCUCUCAAGCUUUGGUUCCAGAGGGUGGUUUUGGUUUCCUUUGCUUGGAAAUCAAUUGUGGGAAAGAGGGGAGACCUAAGAACAGAUAUAGAGAUGGAGCUCGUAGACCAGUAAUAAAUUAAGUGGGGAUUUAUGUACUGUGUUUUUGUGAAGUGUGAUAUGAUGAACCUAAUAUAAACUUUCCCAUUAUUUAAAGCUUUCAGUAUCUUCUUCCUCAAUUUUCC